UGAGGAAUAUUGGUCAAUGGGCGAGAGCCUGAACCAGCCAAGUCGCGUGAAGGAAGAAGGAUCUAUGGUUCGUAAACUUCUUUUGCAGGGGAAUAAAGUGCAGGACGUGUCCUGUUUUGUAUGUACCCUGAGAAUAAGGAUCGGCUAACUCCGUGCCAGCAGCCGCGGUAAUACGGAGGAUCCGAGCGUUAUCCGGAUUUAUUGGGUUUAAAGGGUGCGUAGGUGGUUUGAUAAGUCAGCGGUGAAAGUUUGCAGCUUAACUGUAAAAAUGCCGUUGAAACUGUCGGACUUGAGUGUAAAUGAGGUAGGCGGAAUGCGUGGUGUAGCGGUGAAAUGCAUAGAUAUCACGCAGAACUCCGAUUGCGAAGGCAGCUUACUAAGCUACAACUGACACUGAAGCGCGAAAGCGUGGGGAUCAAACA
rnacentral:rRNA from 1 species